UAAAUGUUAUUUGUUCUUUGUUAGAGCAUCCAUAAUAGUGGAGAUAUUUUGUGGUUUUGAGGAGUUUUUGCAAAUGUGAUUAGGAAAGAGAAUAUGA